rnacentral:rRNA from 1 species
AACGAACGCCGGCGGCAUGCCUAACACAUGCAAGUCGAACGAGAUCUUCGGGUCUAGUGGCGCACGGGUGCGUAACGCGUGGGAAUCUGCCCUUUGGUUCGGAAUAACAGUUGGAAACGACUGCUAAUACCGGAUGGUGACGAAAGUCCAAAGAUUUAUCGCCAGAGGAUGAGCCCGCGUAGGAUUAGCUAGUUGGUGUGGUAAAGGCGCACCAAGGCGACGAUCCUUAGCUGGUCUGAGAGGAUGAUCAGCCACACUGGGACUGAGACACGGCCCAGACUCCUACGGGAGGCAGCAGUGGGGAAUAUUGGACAAUGGGCGAAAGCCUGAUCCAGCAAUGCCGCGUGAGUGAUGAAGGCCUUAGGGUUGUAAAGCUCUUUUACCCGGGAUGAUAAUGACAGUACCGGGAGAAUAAGCUCCGGCUAACUCCGUGCCAGCCGCCGCGGUAA